GUGGCAGAGGAGAUUAGGCUCUGAGCUCCACUGGCUCCAGCUGUGUCAUUAGGAUGACUCAUACUGAGGGAGAACUGUGGUUUUUGGUGACUCACAUGAUGGCUAGUUUGGAACUUAAGCCCUGUGGUUCAAUCCUUAGCCUGCAAUCCCUUCAAUAAUCUUUUAAUACGAAGUUUAGUUCAUAUACGGGGCCAGCAGAGCUCCCUUCACUAAAAUUAAUUGGAAAUGGAUUGUGAAAAGCCACUCACAUUAAUCACCAUGAACGUUAAAAAGAAAGUAUACUUCUUGGGGUGUUUUUUUCAUUUUAUCUUUUUACAGCAUACCAGAAGGCCUGCUUACCAAAGGCAGCUCAGUGCAGUCAGAACCAGCAAAGGCUUUUCAGAAACCUUUGUAAGCACACAGCAUCCCUGCAUCACAGAAGCAACAAACAUCCUGAUUUCGCCUCAGGCAGAAAAAAGCCCUUCCUGCAACACGUCACCUUCAUCCCCAACACCCCAGCCUCACCUUCCUCCCUCCUGGAAACACAGCUGGGUGGCUUAUAAAAUGUGUGGAAUAUGUCAUUUUGAUUAUAGAUCACCUGCAGAUGGCACGGUGAGAAGCAGGAACAGAGAGCAGACCGGACAACAGGCCAAUUAAGGUUGUUCUUCUGGCUCGGGUGGUGCUGGUACCAAGCCCAGAUCUCAUUCUCCUGACAUCUUUCUGUCCUAUGGCACCUUUCAUCCAAGGACAAGCAUCUCCUGCACCACCACUGAGCCAGUUUGGGGUUCCAGCUGGCACAUAUGGUCUGAAGUUUGGCAUUUGCUUCAGCGCUUCUCUCCACACCAUCCUCCACCACGACAAACAAAAGGAUUGUGGUGCAAAGGAAGUGGCUUAAAAAGUGCACGUCACAGCUGAUCUCAAAAUGAUCCCCAGUGCAUCAGUGGAGCUGGAGAUAUAGAUGGCAGUAGGACACACGGGAAAGGUGCUCAGCAUGGGAAUAACUCCAGGAAAUGUCUAUUGGCUUCAGCAGAAGGAAAUUACAGUAACGUGGCGUGGAAAAAACCCCACUUCCUCAACACAUAAGAGCUGCCUUUACGUCCCAACUUCCCUUUGAGCUGAGAUUGAGGGGAAAAAAAAAUCUUAGAAGAGGGAAAAGGAAAGCGAGGAAAAAGCUUGCCCUCCCAUGGAGACAAGAGCUCCUUCUAAGCAACUCAGUCAAGGACAACACACCUCCUUACAAAUUUUUCAUGUAGAAAUGCUCAGGGUGCACUCUGAGACAACGCAACACCCGUCACUUCUGGGGAACGCAUUAAACAUUCAGGUUGUGUCCACACGCUCCGGUCCAUGCGUUAAGACCAUCCUAAGCCCUGCACCUCUGGAACAUCAGCAGCUACUGUUGAUGCCUGUCUAAGCCCAGCAUCCCCAAACCCCUCAAGGUCAGGAAAUCGAGGGCUGCAUUGGAUAUUCUUGUUUUAAUAACCGUGAGGAGAGCAGUAGGUCUCCCCAGGCAGUAUUCCAAUUCAAAGCUGUCAGUUCUCUGCCAGCACUUACAGCAAAGAGCAGCAUCACGUUGCUUGUAAAUGAUGAAGGAUUGCCUAAUUCUCCCCUGGUUUGUUCACAUACAUCUCAGGAAUGCAAUAUGCGGGUGACAAGUGACAAAGAAUCAAAAUGUUUUAAAGUAAUAGUUCAUCCUGCAGGAAACGGAGCUUCACCUGCCUGUCUUUGGGGCUAAAGGAAUAUGCUCCAGAGAACAGAAAUAAAUUACAAUUGUCAACAUCCUGGCAGAAAAGAGGCUCAACAGAAAUAAUAGUUUUUGGUCUUUCCUUACCUAAAAAGCAACGAUAGUAUUGUCACAUCCCUCUCCCAAACAGUUACAAUUCUUCCUUUCCAAACACACCUAAGAGCUCAUUUCAUUUUAAACAUAUUUUAUUAAUGAGUUAUUCCACUGAACAACUUGAUAUUAUCUCCUUCUUCCUGCGCUUUCAACGGAAGAGCUGGCAAGCCACUUUGCAAAGCAGCCUCAGUCAAUCUACUUUCAAGGGGUUUUUAAUGUGUCAUGGCAGGUGAUAAAUAUCUCUUUGCCUCCACUAAGCCAGAAAAGAAGCCCGAGACUUCAAGGAGACUGCUUGAUAUUUGCAAACUUUGAAAAAUAAAUGACAACACAUCAAUUAUGCCUAAAUAGAAGAACACAGCCAUGCAGGUAGAGCAGAUUGUUUUCAAGAUAUAACUCUAAAAAAUGCCAAGCUUUUAUUUCCUGGGGAAAAAAAAUAAAAAUAUAUAAAGCUUUCUCAGUUCCUAAUUAUCUUGGGUCAUUUUUUAGACAGAAAGCAUUUUAUCUAACGUGGUGGACUGUAAACAAAUAUAAUGAGUUGGAUUUUUCAGGUGACAAUAUCCUUUUUCUUACUCACAAAAUAACCUACAAAGACAUUAGUGAAUCAAGAACACUGGCAAAAUAAAAUCUUCAUAGCUGUGGUAUGUCUGUGUAAUGUAACAGUAAAAUUGAUGGAGUGUUGUAUUUUCCACACAGUCUGCAUGGUCUUGUACAAGAAAAAAUUCUUUGGAUACUCUGAUUAAUGCAUGAAUAUA